rnacentral:lncRNA from 1 species
UUUUUGGUAAUCAUUAAAUGGCCUGUUUUGAAUCACCUGGAUCCAAGUCCCUAGCCUUUCCUACCUAAUAGUAUGAUUUGUCAUUACCAGUUGUCAGAUGUUUUAAAAUAGAGUUUAAUAUUUCUAAACCAUUCCAAACACUGAAAAUAAGUCAAUUAAUACUUACAUGUGAAAACCUUUGAAAAUAUUUUUAUGUAAAUGAGUUUAUAGUUUGAUUUUUGUAAUUUUAAAAUUCUAAGGAAAAUGACAGUAAAAAUUGAGUAGUUACCAUUUUGUCCUGAGCUUUUAAAACAGAUUUUAUCAUCUCAACUUUAGAAUUCUUUUCUUAGGAGAACAAGCUAAUAAUACAAUUUUCAUUUAUAUCCCUUCUAGGUAUUUCUCUCUUAUGAAUCUUAUAGCCAAUAGCAUCUGCCAAUUUUACUAGAAGAAUAGUACUGUGUAGUCCAGGUUAUCUAUUACUUAAGUGAACCGUGAUAAAAAUGAAUUCCUCACAGAACAUUUGAUAUAAAAUCCUGGGUUCAAUCAUAUUACUGACCUGAUGACAGUGUCCGGAGCAAAUCCAUUAAUUAAUUAAGAGUCUGUGCUGGCCAGAUCCUCAGUCAGUGUCUGCAGUACCCUCAGGUUCUUGAAAAUCAGCCAGGUUGAGAAAGAGAAUUUUGUAUUGGUUUGACUAUGACACUUAUCUAACUGGAUUUUAAUUUUCUGGUUGUUUUCCUGAAUCUCUGACAAAGCCUGUUCAGUGGGCAAGCAGUGAUUUCAUCUUGUUCUCCAUUUAGAACUGUUCUGCUUGCUAUUAAAACUGACGCAUAGUAGGUAUCCAGUUAAUCUUUGCUAAAUAAAUUCAUGUUUUUACCCAGCAUAGUAAAAGAUAAAGGUGAAUAUAAAUCUAUAAAAACACACACAGGCAUUUUCUACCACAUGUAUGUGGGAUAGAUCAGGAGCAACAGACAACUAGAGAAAUGUUAAGUAAACAGGUUACAAAAUAUUACAUGCAGAUGGUUAAUCUAAAAGGCAUCUGUGGGGGAAAAAAGGAUAUAUUUUCAGAGCUAAAUUUUAAAUUUCUCUAGGAUUGGGCAGGUGCAUACAGGCAGCUUCAGAGUUGCUGAUAAUGUGUAAUUCUUAAUUUGGAUGGUGGGUUUAUGAUUGUUUAAUUUGCUGUUAUUUUGUAUAGCUUACAUAUAUGCUACUUAAAUUAUUUUGUAUGUGCGUUAAAGUAUACACAUUUAAGAAAAAUAUAAACUAUCACAAUAUUUUAUGUCUUCAAAGCAUUAAUUAUGUCAAAAGCAUGAAACUAGGUAUACCCCUUUUAGACAAGAAAUUUUUCUCAUCAGGGAGAAAAUCACUGUCAGAAGGUGGCAGUGUAGCACUUUCUUUUCCAAAUGAAACGAACUAGUUUUAUAAAUACCAAAAUGUAGUCCUUUCAGAUGAAGGCCUCAAGACGCAGUCAGUCCUGUAACUUACUUUUCAUUGCUAGAUAUGUCUCAUUAGGAGAUUAACCGCUUAAAGUGCAAUGCUAAUGCGAAAGUUUUAAUUUGGAAAUCCUAUGCAUGUUAUAUUAACCUUAAGUACCUUUACCUAAAAUUCCUCUUUCUUUUCUAUGAUCUUUGGCAUUUCCAAAUGUACACUAUUUCUAUCUAUAGAAAAUAACUUGCAUAUGGGAUAAUAAUGCACUUUACUAUUUUAGAUAUAUCUUAAAAUGCUGUUCAAGCUUCUUUUGUAAUUAUUUAUGAAUAGCUUAAUAAAAACAAAAUCUACAUCUUUAGACAUUUAUUAUGAAGUAAAAAUCUUUGGCAAACAUUAAAGCAUAAUUGAGUAAGAAUUCUAAAUCUACAUAGAAGAAAUCAAGAAUUCAAAUUUGGUCUCCUACAAGGUAAGGAAUGGGAUAUAUCUGGUGGUAACGUGUAUCAGAAAGAAAAAUAACUCACACUUUUUUCUAGGACUCAACAUUGCAUAUUAAUAGAAAACAAUUAGGAAGAAGUAAUACUUAUAAUGGGGUAAUAUCAUGUCAUAAUAUUUAUUAAAGUGGUUAGCUUUGUUAAAAUGUAUGUGAGCACGUAGAUAUGAAUAUGGAUUGCAAUUUCUAACAUUUACUAAGUGGUUAAUGAACUUGACUAGCAUCCAUGAGGACGUGGGUUUGAUCCCUGGCCUCACUCAGUGGGUUAAGGAUCCGGCACUACUGUGAGCUGUGUUGUAAGUCACAGACAUUACUCGGAUCCCACAUUGCUGUGGCUCUGGUGUAGGCGGCGGCUAUCGCUCCAAUUGGACCCCUAGCCUGGGAACCU